GGGCCGCUGGUCUAGUGGUAUGAUUCUCGCUUAGGGUUCACUCUAAACAUUGCUGCGAGAGGUCCCGGGUUCAAUCCCCGGGUGGCCCC